UUUGUUUAUUUGUUUUUUAAUUUAGAUCGAUCGAAAAAGCAGUUGAGAAAAAAGAUUUUGUUGUUGAAAUACAAAUAGCCAGCCCACCUUCAGCUAGGUUUCGCCGCAUAGUUACCCAAACUAAACUGGACCUAAUAGUAUCGGUUGGAGGUGUAAUUGGACUCUUCAUUGGUGGAUCUUUGCUUAACAUUUUGGAAGUGCUAUCAUUCCUUUUUCAUAAAAUAAACAGCUAUUGUAACAACUAAUUUAACUGUAUAAAAUGUAGCGGCUUGCAAAUAUAUUGGUAUAUAAAGAGAAACUAAAACUAUUAAA